rnacentral:rRNA from 1 species
GUGCACCAGUCGCGAAACCUCCGCAAUGCGGGAAACCGCGACGGGGGACCCCGAGUGCCGUGGCAAUGCUACGGCUUUUCCGGAGUGUAAAAAGCUCCGGGAAUAAGGGCUGGGCAAGGCCGGUGGCAGCCGCCGCGGUAAUACCGGCGGCCCGAGUGGUGGCCGCUAUUAUUGGGCCUAAAGCGUCCGUAGCCGGGCCCGUAAGUCCCUGGCGAAAUCCCACGGCUCAACCGUGGGGCUUGCUGGGGAUACUGCGGGUCUUGGGACCGGGAGAGGCGAGGGGUACCCCUGGGGUAGGGGUGAAAUCCUAUAAUCCCGAGGGGACCGCCAGUGGCGAAGGCCGCCCCGCUGGAACGGGUCCGACGGUGAGGGACGAA